AGUGAACGCUGGCGGUAGGCCUAACACAUGCAAGUCGAACGGCAGCACAGUAAGAGCUUGCUCUUACGGGUGGCGAGUGGCGGACGGGUGAGGAAUACAUCGGAAUCUACUUUUUCGUGGGGGAUAACGGAGGGAAACUUACGCUAAUACCGCAUACGACCUACGGGUGAAAGCAGGGGAUCUUCGGACCUUGCGCGAUUGAAUGAGCCGAUGUCGGAUUAGCUAGUUGGCGGGGUAACGGCCCACCAAGGCGACGAUCCGUAGCUGGUCUGAGAGGAUGAUCAGCCACACUGGAACUGAGACACGGUCCAGACUCCUACGGGAGGCAGCAGUGGGGAAUAUUGGACAAUGGGCGCAAGCUUGAUCCAGCAAUGCCGCGUGGGUGAUGAAGGCCUUCGGGUUGUAAAGCCCUUUUGUUGGGAAAGAAAAGAAGCAGGUUAAUCCCCCGCUGUUCUGACGGUACCCAAAGAAUAAGCACCGGCUAACUUCGUG
rnacentral:rRNA from 1 species